GGAAACUCGGAAAUAACCGAGGUCAAAUCAUGAACUUGCCCUUCACACCUCUGGCCAUAGCCAAACCGAUUGUUUUCUAGGGCUCAUGGUUGCCAGGGGCCUUAUCACACAGUGGGGUCAGCCAAUCACAGCUUUGGUUCCAGAUCCCCAGAUUCUGCCUCUCUCAGUCUCCUUCAAGCAGACACAGAGAGACCAGCAAGCUCAUCUCUGACCUGCACAACAACAGCUGGACUCACUCAUAAUUCUUUGGACAUGUGGGAUGGUGUACUAGCACAAAGUUCUUCUUGUUCCCCACACAGCUGGGACCUGUGGACAGACUCUUCCAACCACAAAACAACCUGCUAAAGGCCUACUGAAUGGGUGGAUUCAAAAGGGAGGUCCUCCUCUACUUGUUAUGCUAUGUGAUCCCACAAUGCCUCAGCACAGGCCUUCACUCGCAGAGGGUGUCUUUUUCCUCUGGAGCUGACAUUCAAACUGAGCAGGGCCUGUGUCCUCCGAUUAAGGUCGGAGAGGAUAGUUUCCCAGGUUUUUAUAUCAUGUCCCAGUUUCACAUUGCUGAGCUGGCCAGAAGAGGAACAGUUCAAAAGGUGCCUGGAUCAACCUCUCAACAUGUUGCCUACAAAAUAGGGCCAGCAUUCAACUUCAGAAUUAA